UUCCUCCGAGCCGGGGAUCAAACCCGCGGCUCUUGAGUUGGAAGACAAACGCAAUAACCACUAUACCGGACGG